UGGCUCAGUUGGUAGAGCAUGGUGUUUGCAAUGCCAGGGUUGUGGGUUCGUAUUCCCAC
rnacentral:tRNA from 1 species